rnacentral:tRNA from 1 species
UCCCAGGUGGCUCAGACGGUAAAGCGUCUGCCUACAAGGCAGGAGACCUGGGUUCAAUCCCUGGGUCAGGAA